rnacentral:rRNA from 1 species
UACGUAGGCAGCAAGCGUUGUUCGGAGUUACUGGGCGUAAAGAGUGUGUAGGCGGUUCUCCAAGUCUGGUGUGAAAUCUCCCGGCUUAACCGGGAGGGUGCGCCGGAAACUGGAAGGCUUGAGUGUGGGAGAGGAAAGCGGAAUUUCUGGUGUAGCGGUGAAAUGCGUAGAUAUCAGAAGGAACACCUGUGGUGUAGACGGCUUUCUGGACCACGACUGACGCUGAGACACGAAAGCGUGGGGAGCAAACAGG